UACCGGAUAAGCGCUUAGGCGGAAAGAUUUAUCGCCGAAGGAUUGGCCCGCGUCCGAUUAGCUAGUUGGUGAGGUAACGGCUCACCAAGGCGACGAUCGGUAGCUGGUCUGAGAGGAUGAUCAGCCACAUUGGGACUGAGACACGGCCCAAACUCAUACGGGAGGCAGCAGUGGGGAAUAUUGGACAAUGGGCGCAAGCCUGAUCCAGCCAUGCCGCGUGAGUGAUGAAGGCCCUAGGGUUGUAAAGCUCUUUUGUGUGGGAAGAUAAUGACUGUACCACAAGAAUAAGCCCCGGCUAACUUCGUGCCAGCAGCCGCGGUAAUACGAAGGGGGCUAGCGUUGUUCGGAUUUACUGGGCGUAAAGCGCACGUGGGCGGAUCUUUAAGUCAGAGGUGAAAUCCCGGAGCUCAACUUCGGAACUGCCUUUGAUACUGGGGAUCUCGAGUUCGGGAGAGGUGAGUGGAACUGCGAGUGUAGAGGUGAAAUUCGUAGAUAUUCGCAAGAACACCAGUGGCGAAGGCGGCUCACUGGCCCGAUACUGACGCU
rnacentral:rRNA from 1 species